rnacentral:rRNA from 1 species
UACGUAGGGGGCUAGCGUUGUUCGGAAUCACUGGGCGUAAAGCGCGUGUAGGCGGCCCACUAAGUCUGAUGUGAAAGCCCGGGGCUCACCCCCGGAAGUGCAUUGGAAACUGGUGGACUCGAGUCCCGGAGAGGAGAGUGGAAUUCCUGGUGUAGCGGUGAAAUGCGUAGAUAUCAGGAGGAACACCGGUGGCGAAGGCGGCUCUCUGGACGGUGACUGACGCUGAGACGCGAAAGCGUGGGGAGCAAACAGG